rnacentral:sRNA from 1 species
GCUGGGCGCAGUGGUGCACCCCUGUAAUCCUAGCAGCUCCGGAGGCUGAGACAGGAGGUUCGAGAGUUCAAAGCCAGCCUCAGCAACUUAGUGAGGCUCUGAGCAUCUCAGUGAGACCCUGUCUCUA